CGCAGAGUCUGUAGGUGAUUGGUACUUCGACCGAUCCAACAAUGUUAAAGACAUUGACUGUCCUUACCCAUGCGACAAAACAUGUCACCAUCUGAUUUUCCAAUGAGUAAAUCUUUGUGUUACCUGAUAAUCUAUUAAAAUAAGCUUUAUGCAGUGUUGAUCAAACAGCUUACUUCAAAGAUUUGAUCUCCUCUCCUUAGUGCUUCUUUGGUCCCUCUAGUGUUUGACAAAACUCUUACCUCAGAUUCUCUAGCUUAGUAGGUAUAGAGUCAGAAACCUUAUUCUUUUCAUACCUCUUUAAGUUAUUUAUAACCAUUUGCUUCAAAAUCUCGAAUCUAAAGUUAGUGACAAAAUCCAUGUCAUUACAAAGAAUAGAAUAUCAAAAUGAAAAUGAAUAAAAGGUAAAGAACAUAUUCCUUUAUUCAUUGGACUCUAUUACAAAACGUCCGAAUCUCAAAAACAGAUCAUGAGCUCUGCUUUUCAUGUCAAAAGUCUAAACCUUUGUUCUGUUCUGUGAGGUCUUCCUAUUGUACAUAGCACUUUAUCUUUCACCUUUGUGUACCACAGUGAAUCGCACGUUAGGGUUACACGUUGCUAUUUCCAUCAUCCAUGUAACAACUGCUGAUUAAGCUCGUAAAUCUCAUAAAAACCCAUUAAAAACAUCAAAAACCCUAAAAGUUAAGCAAUUACUUGAACCAAAAGCAAGAGGACAAAAGUGAAAAAAAAAAAAAAACCUAAAAAAGAGGGGAAAGAUAUAUUAAGAAGCUAAUUAGCUUGACGUGACGAAGAAGCUAACGCUACAGCUUGUGCCCACACCUUGAGUCUCGCCUUAACCUCCUUCGGGUCAUCACCGGGGCUCGAGAUGCGCCACGUGGCGAUCGGAGAGUUGCUGCCACUACUAGUCUGAGUAUCGAAAUUCGACCCGGCUGACACAGAGAUCCGACCCGGAACCUCUAAGUCGAACCCGAGAUCUCUACAAGCUUUCACUUCCUCUAGCCCCAUCCUCAGCGACUUCUCUCCUCCUUUAGCUCUCGUUAACACCGUUAACCCCAAUCCACCACCGCCGUCACUCUCUCCGUCAGCGCCGUUAAAGCCGUGACCUUUCUUCUUCUUCUCCCUGAGCACCCUCCUCUGCCUCCGUGAGCUACUACUCUUACCGCCGUCUCUGCUACUCUCGUUCGCGUCUAUAUCUCCGGUGACUGUGUUUUUUCUUCUCCGGCGAGGUGGAGUCGCCGGGAGGGAGUAAAACCGUGGCGUCUCUUUGUCGGAGUCAGACUCUCGAACGUUCUCUUUUCCUCCUCCACCGCCGUCUUCGGAGACUUCUCCGUCGGCUUCUGCUCCGUCGAAGCUCUCGACAACGCCCAAGUCAGGAUGAUUCUUGGUGGCGUCGUCGUAAACGGAGGAUGUGCAAACAGAGAGUCGAGACAGAGAGGUACGGAUCUGGUGGAAUCCAGCGUCUUCUUCGACGACUGGAAAUGAAGACAUCAUCAUCAAGCUCUCGUCCAAUGCCAUGAGAGGGAUGAAGAAGAAGAAGAAGAAGUUAAAGAGGAAAGUGAAGAGAUUGCCGUUUAUUAUAGUUAUGAUGAAACUAACUCUCUCACACUCUCUUUUUAUGGAAAACGAUUUGGUAGAACUCAUCAGUCGCCUCGUGUUUAGGUUCACUUUUGAAUUUAUGCAGUGUGCUUAGAUGGGACGUUACCUGGCUACCAUCUAGAUCGUGGGUUUGGUUCAGGUGCUAACAGUUGGCUUAUCCAUCUUGAGGUAUCUGACACCUUUGACAUCUCUCUCAUGUAAUCUUGGACCAUUUGCUAUAGUUUAGUAAACAAUGCAAUUUUCUGUUUAUUUAAGUACUUGACUUGACUUGACUUAGAAGUUAGAAGCUGAAUAUCACUUAUUAAUUAGGGUGGAGGAUGGUGUAACAAUCGUAGUAGCUGUGUGUUUCGAAAAACAACUCGGCGUGGCUCCUCUAAGUUCAUGGAGAAAGCUUUGAACUUCACUGGGAUAUUGAGCAAUAAACCUCAAGAGAAUCCUGGUUUGUCCCCAAUAUCAUCAUCAUGAGUUUUGUCAUGUCAUGUGAUUAUAAAUGCACUAUUAUUAUCUUAAUUCUGUUUAUCUGUAGACUUCUUUAACUGGAACAGAAUCAAGUUGCGCUACUGUGAUGGUGCUUCUUUCUCUGGGGAUAGUCAGGACGAGGUUAGUUAUACUUUGUUUCAUAUUUUGUCUUUAUAAUUCGUUACAACGACCUUCUAUUCAUAGGAUUCACAAAUUUUCUAUCGAGGAAAACGAAUCUGGCAAGCGGCGGUGGAAGAGUUCAUGUCUUUAGGGAUGCAGAAAGCAGAACAGGUCUUUAUAUUUUGAUUUUGCUCUGCUUUUAUGUUCUGUUUCUCUUCUUAUCCAAUCUUAUCACUUUGCAAGUGUACAGGCUCUGCUUUCUGGUUGUUCAGCCGGAGGGUUAGCUUCAACCCUGCACUGUGAUGACUUCAGGGAACGAUUACCUCUUUCUACAAAAGUAAAGUGCUUAAGUGAUGCUGGAAUGUUCCUGGACGCGUAAGUAAAUCUCUUCAACUUUUGCCUUUUCUGUUUAGGAGAAAUAUUAUUUUCUAUCGAACUUAAAAUGUUUGAUGGGAAAUGCAGAGUGGAUGUCUCUGGGGGACACUCGCUAAGGAACAUGUUCCAAGGUGUUGUUACAGUCCAGGUACUAUCAGAUUUUAUAUACAACUUAAACAUUAUUAUAUGCUUAUUGUAGCUCACUUAAUACUUCUAAUUUAUAGAACCUCCAAAAGGACUUGUCCAGUGCAUGUACAAACCAUUUGGAUCCUACUUCGGUACAUACCUUUCACUUUAUUAAUAUCAAUGUUUGAUCAAAUCCUUUAACGUUAUUCUUUGUGCCGUUUCUCUUCAGUGCUUCUUUCCACAGAACUUGGUUUCAGACAUCAAAACUCCUAUGUUUCUUCUCAACGCAGCUUAUGACUCAUGGCAGGUAAAUAAUCAUGCGUCUUUCUUGUAUCUAGCUCUUAAUCUAAUCCGACAAUGUUUCCUCAGGUUAGACAGAGCUUAGCUCCUUCACCUGCUGAUCCAAGAGGCGUCUGGAAGCAUUGCAAAUCAGAUAUCUCGCGCUGUAAUUCAUCACAGCUUCAAUUCUUACAAGGUGCAAAGUUUAAACUCAAAGUUUAUUAGUAAUUUCACUGUCGCACUCUCUACACACUGAUGUUUUCUAUGUCCUUACACAAAAUAGAAUUCAGGAAAGAAAUGGUGCUUGCAUUAAACUCAUUCUCAGCAUCUCCUCAGAACGGUGUUUUCAUAAACUCUUGCUUCACUCAUUGUCAGUCUGAGAUACAGGACACUUGGUUUGCUCAAGACUCUCCCAAGCUAAACGGAAAAGUAAGACUUCCCUCCAUGCGAUUUAUAUCUCAUUUUAGCAAUGACAUCAAGUUUGUUAAACUCUGCUCAUGACAUGAUUGUCUUUUUUGGUUUGGCAGAGAGUCGCAGAGUCUGUAGGUGAUUGGUACUUCGACCGAUCCAACAAUGUUAAAGACAUUGACUGUCCUUACCCAUGCGACAAAACAUGUCACCAUCUGAUUUUCCAAUGAGUAAAUCUUUGUGUUACCUGAUAAUCUAUUAAAAUAAGCUUUAUGCAGUGUUGAUCAAACAGCUUACUUCAAAGAUUUGAUCUCCUCUCCUUAGUGC
rnacentral:lncRNA from 1 species